GGUCCCUCUGAUCCAACGUUCAAUAUCUUCCCCUCUAAACAAUUUCUUCUGAUUCGGGUCUCACCGACACAAGUCCGAGCAAUAUGUUUUCUCAGUUGUCUCAUGCCAGAAUCAUAGUUAACAACUUUGUAAAAAGAAACUAAAAUAAUCUAUUAGGGUUAAUUAAACUCUAAUUAUCUUAUUCGGAAUUGGAAAUAGGUACAGCUUGUUUUUCUGAUGUAAACCCCAAAAUGUUUGUCCCUCUUCUUCUUUUGUUUUUGUUAUGUAGUUUAUCAGAGAAAGGGAAAUGACAGGUAAUAUAUGGAAUAUUCGAGAUUCGUUGGCAUUUGAAGAAAUGCCCGCCAAACCAUUUUAUUCGUUUAUUUAUAUCUAGACUAGACCACUCCUCCCGGCUCCCUCCAUAUCUCAGACCUUUUGAAUGGGCCUCUAUCUGACCAUAUAUGGGCUUUGACCC